rnacentral:rRNA from 1 species
UACAGAGGUCCCGAGCGUUGUUCGGAUUCAUUGGGCGUAAAGGGCGCGUAGGCGGCCUUCUAAGUCGAACGUGAAAUCCCCGGGCUCAACCCGGGAACUGCGUCCGAUACUGGAAGGCUUGAAUCCGGGAGAGGGAUGCGGAAUUCCAGGUGUAGCGGUGAAAUGCGUAGAUAUCUGGAGGAACACCGGUGGCGAAGGCGGCAUCCUGGACCGGUAUUGACGCUGAGGCGCGAAAGCCAGGGAGCAAAGCGGG